AUUAAAAUAGACUAGAGUAGUAAAAUUAAAUUUAGAUUUCAGAGAGCUAGUGGAUGGUGCGAACUAGUAUUAAAUUGAUUUGAACUUGCUAGAUACAAUCUAUUUAACCGUAGUUGGUAUAAAGACUAGUACGAGAGGAUUAUUUAAAAAAAUAAUCAAUUAGGGUGGUACCGCGAGUAAUAUCCUCGUCCCUAAA
rnacentral:ncRNA from 1 species